GUGGUUUGACGAGUCAGUGUGCGCUCUUAUUUUAUGCCGCUUUUCAGUUGCAAUUACUGAUAGCAAGUUCGCUUGUAAUGUGGAGUCAAUAUGGUCUAGCGAGCUGUUGGGUACAUACUAUCAUUCUCAUUUGAGUUUUUUUGUGAAUAAGCUGUUUUAAAUUACGAAGAACAAAAAGCAACCUCACGGAAGAAGCAAGAAAAUUGGUUUUGCAAGAUGUGCCAAGAAGAUGUGGUAAAAGAUAUGGGAACGUACUCAGUAUAUAAGAACACGUGCACGAGGAGUGCGUGGGUCUCA